UACAGAGACUGCAAGCGUUAUUCGGAUUCACUGGGCGUAAAGGGUGCGCAGGCGGCCGUAUGUGUGAGGCGUGAAAGCCCGGGGCUUAACCCCGGAAUUGCACCUCAAACUAUACGGCUAGAGCAUUGGAGAGGGUAGCAGAAUUCAUGGUGUAGCAGUGAAAUGCGUAGAUAUCAUGAGGAAUACCAGAGGCGAAGGCGGCUACCUGGACAAUUGCUGACGCUCAGGCACGAAAGCGUGGGGAG
rnacentral:rRNA from 1 species